CAACCCUCAGGCCCUAGCCGGCCUGGCGUUGGGGCAUCUGCGGGUGACCGCAGGCCCUGAAAGAUAGUGGCGGUGUCCGCUAGCACUCCGGGCGCAGUAGGUGUCUUUCUCGCCGAGGACUGUCUUGCGGGCUGCCGGCCGUAAAACACCCCCUAAAUGAUGGA
rnacentral:misc_RNA from 1 species